rnacentral:RNase_P_RNA from 1 species
GAUGAUUGCGCAUUUUUAUGUGAGGAAAGUCGGGGCUUCACAGAGCAGGGUGCUAGGUAACGCCUAGUGGGAGUGAUCCUAAGGAAAGUGCAACAGAAAAUAACCGCCAUUUAUAUGGUAAGGAUGAAAAGGUGAGGUAAGAGCUCACCGUUGAUUAGGUGACUAAUCAAGCCGUGUAAACCCCACCUGAAGCAAGGCCAAGUUAGGAUAAAAAGAAUGUUGCUCGCAUUCUCCGGUUUGGUAGGCCGCUUGAGCUUAUUGGUGACAAUAAGCCUAGAUAGAUAAUCAUCUAAUACAGAACCCCGCUUAUGUUUUG